rnacentral:rRNA from 1 species
AAUCAACGCUGGCGGCGUGCCUCAGACAUGCAAGUCGAACGAUUAAGACUUCCUUCGGGAAGUGCAUAAAGUGGCGCACGGGUGAGUAACACGUAAGUAAUCUACCCUCGAGUGGGGAAUAACGUUCGGAAACGAACGCUAAUACCGCAUAACGCAGCGGCACCGCAAGGUGGCAGUUGUUAAAGGAGUAAUUCGCUUGAGGAGGAGCUUGCGGCAGAUUAGCUGGUUGGUAAGGUAAUGGCUUACCAAGGCUACGAUCUGUAUCCGGUCUAAGAGGACGGUCGGACACACUGACACUGAAUAACGAGUCAGACUCCUACGGGAGGCAGCAGUCGGGAAUUUUGGGCAAUGGGCGAAAGCCUGACCCAGCAACGCCGCGUGAAGGAUGAAGUAUUUCGGUAUGUAAACUUCGAAAGAAUGGGAAGAAUAAAUGACGGUACCAUUUAUAAGCUCCGGCUAACUACGUGCCAGCAGCCGCGGUAAUAC